rnacentral:rRNA from 1 species
UCCAGACUCCUACGGGAGGCAGCAGUGGGGGAUAUUGCACAAUGGGGGAAACCCUGAUGCAGCGACGCCGCGUGGGCGAAGAAGUAUUUCGGUAUGUAAAGCCCUAUCAGCAGGGAAGAAGAAAUGACGGUACCUGAGUAAGAAGCACCGGCUAAAUACGUGCCAGCAGCCGCGGUAAUACGUAUGGUGCAAGCGUUAUCCGGAUUUACUGGGUGUAAAGGGAGCGCAGACGGCAGUGCAAGUCUGGAGUGAAAGCCCGUGGCUUAACUACGGGACUGCUCUGGAAACUGUGCAGCUAGAGUGCAGGAGAGGCAGGCGGAAUUCCUAGUGUAGCGGUGAAAUGCGUAGAUAUUAGGAGGAACACCGGUGGCGAAGGCGGCCUGCUGGACUGUGACUGACGUUGAGGCUCGAAAGCGUGGGGAGCAAACAGGAUUAGAUACCCUAGUA